CAAAAAAAAAGGAAAAAGAACAAGUACAGUUCCGACAUCUCUCGAGAGUCCUACGAAACCUAGUUACACGAUUCUUUCCCAUUCUUUCUGAUUCCGAAUUCGAUAAACACAUUUUUCAACUCGGCAAAUCCCAGCUCGAGUUCUUCUUUAAUUGAUUUAGUAUUUGAUGUCUCUUGAUUUUGGGAUGCCUCAGAUGAACAAGUACGGUGGUUCCAUCAAGUGGUCAUUUUGAUAUCCAAUACAACAGACCACCGAGUGUGCAUUCUAUUUGUUUAUCAAUGGGGGAAAAUGUGAUCAAAAGGGUCGCCUACACAAAGAAGGCAGGUGAGAAUGUGACAUAGAUGCCAAUGUAGAAUUGAAUUGAUGUUAGAUGGGAAUGCCUAAAACGUGCAAAGGCUUAAAUCUUUCUACACAACAUGGAGAAUCUUUACUUGGAUGCGUGAGCUUGUUUUGGAAGGGUCUUUAAGGUUUGAUAAGAAGAAAUCUACAUACGUUCUUUAGAAUAAGUAAUAUUUAGUUACAUUAUCGGAAUUUUGCCCCCAAUAAAAAGAUACAUUAUCGGAAUAUGCUCUAAGAAACUGAUUAGAAUAUCAGGGGAAUCUAGUAUAUAAUGUAGUGAUGCAGAGAAACUGCAACUGAAUCGAAUACUUGAAAAUCAAACACAAAUUGAAUCGUCCUUCUUGAAACGAGAAUUUAAAUCUCACAAGCCUUAGAUAGAAGAAUAGAAGAAACAGCUCCAGCAAGAUGAGUACAACACGAUGAUCACAGAUUUAAGAAACUAAAAAGAAACUAUAACAAACUCAACACAAAUCUCAUGAAUGAUCCAGUUUAGCCCUCCACCCUCCACGUGUUCAUCUUUCUUAACCCUCUUUUUCCUAUAUCAAAUAGAAACCUUGACCUGUAGAGAAGGGAACUACCUGAUUUGCAAGGAACAAGUAUUGUAUACUCCAUUAGCAGUUGGCUUCUCAGCUUUGUAUAACCAACCCCAUACUCAUAAGACUGAUCAGUCUUUAAGGUAUGAAACUGUGGUGCAUAGUUAGGGACGAGCACAAGAUUUUCCAAAUAUAAUUCCAGCAGUUGGCAAGAGUUUAAAUUGCCUCUUGUGCUUGAUUUGGUACCCCGCAUUAUCAAGUAGAAACUGUUGUAUUAGCAAUGCAUCACAAUCUUUAGGACUUCCCAACUUGACCGCAGAAAAUGGAGGGUGGUUCACAUAUCACAACCUGCUCCACUAUGAAGAAACUCUUUAGUUCUUUUUGUGUCAAUUGACACAUUCUGAUCACAUAUAUUUGCAUGCUAAUAUCUGAGCUGUAUCUCCACUGUAGAGUAGAUCUUCUAUUUUCUUUUAGACCCAACCCAUUGUAACCUUGCUUUGGGCAGUCCCACUGAUUUGCUUUAGCUGAUAAUCCACCUGGUUCCCAUACACGCCUAACCUGAGAUUUUGUCAACAAUUGCUGACAUUUCACUCUGAUAAUGAGACACGUGUUGAAUUUGAUUUCUCAUAUGGAUUCGAUUUUGUGGCACAUAUUGCUUCUUGUUGCUGCAACAUUAUCUUGACACCAUCAUAAGAUUCUUGCUGAGCUGAUUAAUUCCCAUUCGAUAAGUCCUUAUCUAUAUGCGGAGCUCUUUUAUGAAACAGUUCUGUGACUUUCUCACCUUCAGUACUUAUUUGACCGGAUUGAUGUUUAGCUUUGUGAACACAUCUCAUGGAAGGUUGGACUUGAUCUUCCCUCAUCUAGUUAAGCUUUAGGGUCUUCACAUCUCUGACAGAGCCUUGCCUAAUACCCAUAAGAAAAACCUUUUUAUGCCCUACACGGAACUGCAUUUCUAGCUUCUUAAAAUUACAAGUUAUUGGCCCCAAUGUCUCCAACCACUGACCGCUUAAUACCAUAUCACACCCACCCAAGUGAAUUACCAUAAGAUUAGCCUGAAAUUGUGUCCUCUAAAUUCCCAUUGAAGCUUAUCUAUUUUAGCAUCAACCCCCAACAUUAUCCCAUCAGCUACUGAAACUCGAGCCAAACUUGCAGGUUUGAAAACACAUGUCAACUUCUCAGCUACCUUGGGAUCCAUGAGGUUGUGUGUAGAACCCGAGUCAAUGAGAAUAUACAAUACUUGCUUCCCAUAAGAACCCUUCACUCUCAUCAUUCGAUUAUCAAAGACUCCUGAAAUUGCAUUAACAGAAAUAUGAGCUAUAACAUCGGUAUCCUCCAAUGCAACCUUGUCCUCAUGUACUCCAUCUUUAGGUUUCUCCAUAGUAGGAAGAAAAACUGUUUUAUGAUCAUGCUCUGGUUUGGAUGAUAAAAUCCCUUAAGAUUGAAUGCUACUUCUACUCCGUUAAGCACCAGACUAAUUGCUAAAAUCCUUGGCUUCACUUGAAACAUGUAAAGGCUGAGCUUCCUUCGGAAAAUCAUCACUCUCUUUUUUGGUAACCACUCUUGUCGUAUGAGCAGUCUCAUAUAACCUUCCUAUCAUUAAACACUGCCUAAUAAUUUUCUGAGGUUGAAUCAUCCUAACAUUCGUUUUGAGUAUCACUUCUCAGCCUUUCCCAAGUAAACACUAACCAAGUACGAUUCAGAUAGAUCCACAGGAGAGACUUAAUCAACUCAAAUGUUUCAUGAUACUCCCUCAAUUCCUUCUUUUUCAGCUCUGCAAUCGAAUCCUCCACCAGCUUAAAAUAUUUUCCUUGCAACAGCAUUUCGUAAAUCCCCCAAUUGUACCUAACAUGCUCCCUAUUUAAUUGAAUUUAAAUCAAAUUUAGAUUACAGAAUAAUAGAGAUAUUUUAAGAAAUAUAUAUAUUUAAAAAUUAAUUGAAACUUGAUAAAUGAGAUAAAAGCCUCAUUUUAAAGAUUAUAUUAUAUUUUGAACAAAAUCUAAUAUUUUGGGGGGAAAAAUAUAACAAUCU